UACGUAGGGAGCAAGCGUUGUCCGGAUUUACUGGGUGUAAAGGGUGCGUAGGCGGCUUUGCAAGUCAGAUGUGAAAUCUAUGGGCUCAACCCAUAAACUGCAUUUGAAACUGUAGAGCUUGAGUGAAGUAGGGGCAGGCGGAAUUCCCCGUGUAGCGGUGAAAUGCGUAGAGAUGGGGAGGAACACCAGUGGCGAAGGCGGCCUGCUGGGCUUUAACUGACGCUGAGGCACGAAAGCGUGGGUAGCAAACAGG
rnacentral:rRNA from 1 species